rnacentral:rRNA from 1 species
GGGCCCGCACAAGCAGCGGAGCAUGUGGUUUAAUUCGAAGCAACGCGAAGAACCUUACCAGGUUUUGACAUCUUCUGAAUAACAUAGAGAUAUGUGAAGCCCUUCGGGGCAGAAAGACAGGUGGUGCAUGGUUGUCGUCAGCUCGUGUCGUGAGAUGUUGGGUUAAGUCCCGCAACGAGCGCAACCCUUGUUAUUAGUUGCUAACACGCAAAGGUGAGCACUCUAGUAAGACUGCCAUGGAGAACAUGGAGGAAGGUGGGGAUGACGUCAAAUCAUCAUGCCCCUUAUAACCUGGGCAACACACGUGCUACAAUGGCUGUAGACAAAGAGAAGCGAGACCGAGAGGUGGAGCAAAACUUAGAAAAACAGUCCCAGUUCGGAUUGUCGGCUGCAACUCGCCAACAUGAAGCUGGAGUUGCUAGUAAUCGCGAAUCAGCAUGUCGCGGUGAAUACGUUCCCGGGCCUU